rnacentral:rRNA from 1 species
AAAUAUGACGUGGUUAUAUACAUAAAUAGUAUUUCCUUGAAGUCUCAUUAUGCAACCUGAGCUCAGUCGUGAUUACCCGCUGAACUUAAAGCAUAUGAAA